rfam:Pseudoalteromonas citrea DSM 8771 strain NCIMB 1889 contig061, whole genome shotgun sequence.
UAUUGGUCCUCUCGCAACAAUAGCAUGUGAACCUGGUCAGGCCCGGAAGGGAGCAGCCACAGCGUGUGACUUGUGUGCCGAGAUGUGGCUGGUAAGA